CAAAUUAAAGAAACAUUUAAAUAAUCAACUUGGGUUAUUGAAUGAAUCAAGCUUAGAUCUACAGAGUAGCAUCAGCAGUUUUAUACAACAGGUUACAAAAAAAGCUAUGGAAUAUAUAGACAACACAACUGACACCAAUAUGACAGUGAAAGAUGCACUUGUUAUGGUAGCUACAGCACAGAGUGUAAUAUUUGAACAUGUGAAUAUGAUGAAUGAAACCACCAAGCUUUAUCCUUUCACUGUGAUGACAGGAGACCAGACAACAACUGAGAGUAAAAGUUUUAUCCCAGCAGGUG